UACAGAGGGUGCGAACGUUGCUCGGAUUUACUGGGCGUAAAGCGCUUGUAGGCGGGCGAGUGUGUCGGGUGUGAAAUCCCUGAGCUUAACUCAGGAACUGCAUUCGAAACUACUUGUCUUGAGGAAUUGAGAGGAGAACGGAAUUCCCGGUGUAGAGGUGAAAUUCGUAGAUAUCGGGAGGAACACCAGAUGCGAAGGCGGUUCUCUGGAAAUUUUCUGACGCUGAGAAGCGAAAGUGUGGGGAGCAAACAGG
rnacentral:rRNA from 1 species